GGGAGCCAGGACACCGCGCCGGGCAGCGGAUGAGGCGCGGAGGCCGUGGCCCAGGGCACCUCCCCCCGGCUUCCCGAACCCUGCCCGGUCCCACCCGAGGGGGAGGAUGGAAACACCAGCCGCGCUCUGAGCCCCUCAGGAAGAUAACACCCUUCCCGCCUUAUCACUCCGCGGCCCUGCAGAGACCAUUGCCUCUUCCCUUCCACAUCUCCAUCUCCCACAACGAGGCCGAGCGGAAAAGCGAGCGAUGGCGGAAAACCUGAGGAAACUGGUCUCCAACGAAUCUUUACGAUCGAUGCAGGACAAGCUAGAGUCCUGGCUGAGGGAGUACAACACAAACUCAUGUAAUCAAAAUCUAAAUCAUUGCCUUGAACUCAUUGAACAAGUUGCCAAAGUGCAGGGACAACUCUUUGGGAUCCUCACGACAGCAGCCCAAGAAGGAGGACAUUAUGAUGGGGUGGAAAUAAUCAAAUCACGCCUUUUGCCUUGGCUGGAGACCUCCUUUACUGCUGCUUCCCUGGGAAAACCUGUUGACAGCAGGGUCCCCUCUCUACAGGACACUUUUGAUAAGGAGAGACAUAAAGAGUCUGGUGUUCGGGAUCGGGACAUACAACAAUUAGACUCUGACUUGAACUCAACUCGUAAUCAACUCAACCAGGUUCAAGACGAUCUGGCUACAACUGAAAAGACUCUUGAAGAAACCAAGAACAGAUCGGCCAUAUCCCUUUUGGCUGCAGAGGAGGAAAUAAAUCAGCUAAGAAAGCAGCUUAAAUCUCUUCAAAACCAGGAGGACUCCCGCCACAGAACCUUGGAGCAUAGGAGCUCAGAGCAGAGGAGCUCGGAGCAGAGGAGAUCAGAGCAGAGGAGAUCAGAGCAGUGGGGCUCAGAGCAGCGGGGCGCCGACAGGCGGAACAAAGAGUUGCGGAGCGUGGAAGUGGUAUCUGAUUAUGAGCAACAGCUCCGAACGCUGAAAGACGAGAUAGCUGUUCUGUCUGCUGAAAAAUCUGCCCUCCAAGGAAGGUCCACCAGGAGCCGGUCUCCUAGCCCUGCCCCGCACAGACGCAGCCGCAGCCGGUCAGCCAGCCCCUCCACCGCAGUCGCGAAGAUCAGGAGCCCGUCCCCGAACCGCGCCAAACUGUCCAGCGUGGCGCGCAAGGCUGCCCUCCUGUCCCGGUUCAGCGACGCCUAUUCCCAGGGCCGCCUGGAUGCGCAGUGCAUGCUGCGGCGCUGCAUCGACAAAGCUGAGACCGUGCAGCGCAUCAUCUACAUCGCCACAGUGGAGGCAUUCCAUGUAGCUAAAAUGGCAUUCAGACAUUUCAAGAUCCGUGUGAGAAAAUCGUUGACACCAUCUUAUGUGGAGUCAAAUGAUUUUGAGGAUGCUGUCUCGGAUUAUAUCAUUUGUCAUCUUGAUCUAUAUGAUUCCCAAAGCAGUGUUAACGAUGUGAUCCGAGCCAUGAAUGUCAAUCCCAAGAUUUCAUUCCCUCCUGAAGUUGACUUUUGCCUCCUCAGUAACUUCAUCCAGGAGAUAUGUUGCAUUGCUUUCGCAAUGCAGACUUUAGAACCACCCCUAGAUAUUGCAUUUGGGGCCGAUGGAGAAGUUUUUAAUGAUUGCAAGUACCGUCGCAGCUAUGACUCCGAUUUCACUGCUCCCUUGGUCUUCUAUCACGUGUGGCCUGCUCUCAUGGAGAAUGACAAUGUCAUUAUGAAGGGAGAAGCUGUCACCAAGAGAGGGGCUUUUGUACGGUGGCCUUGCAUAGUGACAAUUCAUCCCAAGUGUUUGAUUCACAAUGGAAUUCGGUGCGAUCUGUAAGUCGAUGUCGAAGCAGGAGUUUAAGUCCCAUCUGCCCCCGUACCCAUAUUGGUUUAAGCACGAUAUCUCGAAGCCGGAGUCCUUCUCCAAUAAGAUGCGGAUUGCCGAGGUUUUAAAACCAUCAGCCAUGUUCCUCUGCCACAGUACAUCUGCAACAGCCAGCUUCCCCAGUGCCUCCAUCUGCCUGCUGUGUCUGCCUCAGACCUCACUUAAGAUAAUGUGAAAGGCAAUUCUGUGUAUUGCUGCACACAGAGAGUUAAAUGUUUUGGCUUAGCACGUUUGUAACUUCAGAUAUAUUGCAUUUUAUUUUAUUUUAUAGAUACAAAUUCCAUUAAUUUGAUAAAAAUGAUUGCAUAGGUGUUUAGGAUCAUAUUCAUUCAAAGCAAAGUCCAUUACAAGUUCAGGAUUUUCAUCCUGAAAUACUAGGCCCUUUUAUAGCAACUAUAUGAACAAAAGUGGAAAAUCUUUACCAUGCUGAGUCCAAAAGACAAGAUGAGUCAUUUUGGUUUACAAACUGAUUAUGCAUAUUAUAAUUGCUGGUAUUAGUUUUAAUGUGAAAACAAUAUUGGUGUUUUAAUUUUCUUUUACGGUUUGGAAGGCAGCUCUAAUCUCAGAUUGGGGGACUUGUAGCAGUAGCAAUGACUUUAGGCUAAAUGUAGAUGUUGAUGAUUUAUUUAAGAGAAUAUAGUUUGUUGGCUUGCUUCUCUUUUCCUACUUUGAGAGGGCCCAGUUUGAUUUAGUUGAGUGCUGUAUGUCGAAGCCACUAACUCAAGAGAAUUUUCUCGCUUCGUGAAUGUGGAGCAGUGAUUUGGAUAGAAGCCAGCUUUGAGAUAACUGUUAAUUACCUUGUGUUUUUCUUCUGGGAAUGUCUCAUACUGUUUUAAUGCACGUGUUAUAUAUAAAAGCUACCUGGGACGUGCCCUUUAUCUAUUCCACCUAGUUGUUCGCAAAUUCAGACUUUCUCUGAAUUCCAUCUGACUAAAAAUACCUAAACUCAAGGCCUAAAACUAGAGACACCACUUACUGAUUUUAAAUUAAGUGUACAUCCCUUAAUUUCUUCAGUGUGAAGUACUGUUGAAAGUUCAAGAUAAUAAUAGAAUGUGGCUUUUUGAAGAUCAGUGAUGAUCUUUCUACUUUUUUAUCACUUUAAAUCCAACCUUAAACACAAGCAUUACAAAUGCCUGUUCUUGCCCUGUGCAUUUUAGAGACAAGCUCUGAAUUGGCCAUAGAUCAGUUUGCGUAAGCUCAGUGCCAAAACCAGCACCUGAGGUUUUUCAGGUGAAAAAAACCCAAACUUCUCUAAAGCGUCUUGUUCCUUGUGCUGGGAGGUAGAGACGAGGGAGAGACCACCUCAGUCCCUGCCCC